rnacentral:rRNA from 1 species
GUCUAUGGCCAUGCCACCCUGAACAAGCUCUAUCCCGUCUGAUCUCGGAAGCUAAGCAGGGUCGGGCUUGGUUAGUACUUGGAUGGGAGACCAUCUAAGAAGACCAAGUGCUAUAGGCA